CACUCCGGUGGCUUAAUGGUUAGAGCAUCCGCCUCGGAUGAGGGAGGUCGUGGGUUCGAUCCCCGGUCGAGUCA